GGAAAAGAAACCAACAGGGAUUGCCCUAGUAACGGCGAGUGAAGCGGCAACAGCUCAAAUUUGAAAUCUGGCUCUCGGGCCCGAGUUGUAAUUUGUAGAGGAUACUUUUGAUGCGGUGCCUUCCGAGUUCCCUGGAACGGGACGCCAUAGAGGGUGAGAGCCCCGUCUGGUUGGAUGCCAAAUCUCUGUAAGUUCCUUCGACGAGUCGAGUAGUUUGGGAAUGCUGCUCUAAAUGGGAGGUAUAUGUCUCUAAAGCUAAAUACCGGCCAGAGACCGAUAGCGCACAAGUAGAGUGAUCGAAAGAUGAAAAGCACUUUGAAAAGAGAGUUAAAAAGUACGUGAAAUUGUUGAAAGGGAAGCGUUUAUGACCAGACUUGGGCUGGUUAAUCAUCUGGGGUUCUCCCCAGUGCACUUUUCCAGUCCAGGCCAGCAUCAGUUUUCCCCGGGGGAUAAAGACUUCGGGAAUGUGGCUCUCUUCGGGGAGUGUUAUAGCCCGUUGUGUAAUACCCUGGGGGGGACUGAGGUUCGCGCAUCUGCAAGGAUGCUGGCGUAAUGGUCAUCAACGACCCGUCUUGAAACACGGACCAAGGAGUCGUCUUCGUAUGCGAGUGUUCGGUGUCAAACCCCUACGCGUAAUGAAAGUGAACGCAGGUGAGAGCUUCGGCGCAUCAUCGACCGAUCCUGAUGUUCUCGGAUGGAUUUGGUAAGAGCAUACGGGGCCGGACCCGAAAGAAGGUGAACUAUGCCUGUAUAGGGUGAGCCAGAGGAAACUCUGGUGGAGGCUCGCAGCGGUUCUGACGUGCAAAUCGAUCGUCAAAUAUGGGCAUGGGGGCGAAAGACUAAUCGAACCUUCUAGUAGCUGGUUUCCGCCGAAGUUUCCCUCAGGAUAGCAGUGUUGAACUCAGUUUUAUGAGGUAAAGCGAAUGAUUAGGGACUCGGGGGCGCUAUUUAGCCUUCAUCCAUUCUCAAACUUUAAAUAUGUAAGAAGCUCUUGUUGCUUAAUUGAACGUGAGCAUUCGAAUGUAUCAACACUAGUGGGCCAUUUUUGGUAGCAGAACUGGCGAUGCGGGAUGAACCGAACGCGAGGUUAAGGUGCCAGAGUAGACGCUCAUCAGACACCACAAAAGGUGUUAGUACAUCUUGACAGCAGGACGGUGGCCAUGGAAGUCGGAAUCCGCUAAGGACUGUGUAACAACUCACCUGCCGAAUGUACUAG
rnacentral:rRNA from 1 species